rnacentral:rRNA from 1 species
GACGAACGCUGGCGGCGUGCUUAACACAUGCAAGUCGAACGCUGAAGCUUGGUGCUUGCACUGGGUGGAUGAGUGGCGAACGGGUGAGUAAUACGUGAGUAACCUGCCCUUGACUCUGGGAUAAGCCUGGGAAACUGGGUCUAAUACUGGAUAUGACAUGCCACUGCAUGGUGGUGUGUGGAAAGGGUUUUACUGGUUUUGGAUGGGCUCACGGCCUAUCAGCUUGUUGGUGGGGUAAUGGCCUACCAAGGCGACGACGGGUAGCCGGCCUGAGAGGGUGACCGGCCACACUGGGACUGAGACACGGCCCAGACUCCUACGGGAGGCAGCAGUGGGGAAUAUUGCACAAUGGGCGGAAGCCUGAUGCAGCGACGCUGCGUGAGGGAUGACGGCCUUCGGGUUGUAAACCUCUUUCAGCACGGAAGAAGCGAGAGUGACGGUACGUGCAGAAGAAGCGCCGGCUAACUACGUG